UAGAAUUGUCUGUGGUGACAUUCACAGUGGAGGGGGAAUACAGGAUAGAUACUUUGUGUUGCAGUGUUCCACGAAGAAAACCAAACCAGAACUAUGGCCAGGUUUAAUGUAAAAAGGUUGGCUGCAGCAGCUCAAUCCACUCACAAACACUCUAUGGACACACCAGCAGUCCUGUCGGUAGAGUCAGGAUAGCAAACACGAAUCAGCAGUGGUCACACUACCUAACAGAGACAGCCAGGCCUCAGCCUUGGCACAAGUCAGAAGGGGCCAGAAGGAAUGAAUGCCAGGAGAAGUUCUCAGCUGUGCCUCUCUCAGGGAAGUGAAGAUCAGCAAAGAUUCCAGACCUACAAGGAUUGCACAGCUAGUUCUAUAAACAAGCCAAGCUCUGUCUCCAUCACUGUUGGUCAAGUCCUUUUUAUACUCUCUCCAAAUAUCACAUAUCCUCCAUGGGACCUGCCUUAGCACAUGUCUUACCUCAGCAUAUGUGUCUGUCUCAGCUGAUAUCACUACGCCAAUCAGCCCAAGCCCAUGAAAGUGGUAAGAAACUGAAGCACACCACCAGACGUUUUUUGGUGUGUUUCUCUCUACUCGAUGUAAGGUGAACCAAUACAUGCAUGUCAUGUCCUUAGGGGAAAAUCCUUCAUCUUGUGUCCUUUCAAGUGCUUGCUUCAGCAGAACAUCCUUUCUCCUCUGUCAGCUUCAGCUAAAUGUUCCUUCUUGAGUCUGCCUUAAACUUUCACCUGUGUGUGCUUCAGCUAAACAUUCCUUCACAUGUUUGUCCCAGCAAAACACCAUCCAAACAACUUUCCAAAACUUUCCUUAAGUUUCAACUUCAUCUCUCAACUGUAACAGCUGGCAAGGGGUGAGAUAGCAGAGAGGGCAUCACUCCUACACCCUCACAGUGGACAGGCAGAUGAGUGACAGGGCCAGCUCUCCCAGGCCAGCUCACCUAAGUCCCUACCACUAGGGUCAGCUUUGGUGUGCUGUGCAGGUGAGUGGCAUGGUCUACUCUCCCAAGUGCUGCAGUGUGUGAGAGAUGUGGCCAGUUUUCCAGAGCACUGCAGACAGUGAGGGGAGGGACCAGUUCUGCACAGCCUCUGCAUUUCCACAUGGUCACCAACAGCUGCCCUGAUGAGGAAUGCCCCCAUAUUAUCUAGUGGUAAUAUUUGUUCCCCCUGCUGCAGUGUAGCUAUGGACUCAGAUAAGGCCCUCAGUGGCAGCUCAGGCUGGGAUCUCACCAUGGCAACAGGUGGUGGGUUUGGUCACUCACGAUAGGCUACUGCUCUCCACCCUUAAGUCUCCAGCUCCAUCUCUCCUCACAGUGCUGCUCUGCUCCUCUUUCUCUCCCAUAUGACCACCACAUGCUCGCACAUUGUGGUGGCUCCUUCUCAGGUUGGCCAUGUGGCUGGUGGGUCCCUGGGUGCCAUCCUUCAUCUGCUCUGUGUGGUGUGGCUGCAAGUGGGUGUCUAUGGUCCAGCCUGUGCCUUGCUCUGGAGUGCAGGUUUGUGGGUGGCAUGGUGGUUGGCAGGUCUAUAUCUGUCUUCCUCCUCCUGAGCUGUGCUACCUGGAUUUGAUUUCACUUGAUUGGAUUUUAGGUGUCCUAGGCACAAAACAGCUUUGGCCACCAUACCAGGCAUCAAGCUAGGAUGAACAAGGGAUUGUCAUCUGCUCUGCCCAUGACUGAUAUAAGAACAACACCACCAACAAGUAGUUUUUCCAGAAAGGAAGUGUGCUUCCUCUUUCCAUUUAGGCUGGUCACAUGACUUGUUUUGGCCAAUGAGUGAGUAACAUGAAGCAACACAAAGCAGAAAUUUCAAAUUCAGUUGUUUGUUACACUUAGUCUCUGGCAUCAAAGUGUUCGGGUGAGGGCCCCUCUCUAAGUCUAGUUUCUAGAAUAACAGGAGCUGUGAAGCAGUGUGGAACUGAGCUCUGGCUCCUAACAGGGCAGAGCCCACUGUGAAGAACCAUGAAAGCCCUCAUUAGCUUAGCUUAAAUUCAAGCUACCAUGUAAAGUUGUUGGAUUCACAGCUUACACAUUGGUUAGAGACAAACUUCUAUAUUCAGCAAAAGCCAUAGCCAGAUUGUCAGCAUGUUUGAGCUGGUUCUCUGGGUCUCCAUCUCCACAGUGAUGAUCUGAAUGGGUCUAUAUGUGGCCUGGACAAACAGUGGCCUACAGCAGGACAAUGGACUUUGAAUAACUGUAUUUCACAGCAAAUUGCAAGCAAGGCUGUUCUUCGACCCAGAGGUGGAGAUAACCUCUUCCAUCAAAAACUGCAUGUUUAGCACACCAUCAAAAACAAGCUCUUGCAUGUUUAGCACACCUCACAAACCUACAGAAGAAUGGGAGACCUAUGGAACAUCAGCUCUUAUAUACUGUUAGAAAAAAAAAAAAAGAAUGUUUGCUCUUGUGAGCCACUGUGAAACUAGAGUUUUUUGGUUAUGCAUCAAAGUUGCAAUCAUGAAUUAAAAAAAAAAAUCCACUG
rnacentral:lncRNA from 1 species